ACUCAAAUGAAUUGACGGGGACUUGCACAAGCAGUGGAUUAUGUGGUUUAAUUCGAUGGUAAACGAAGAACCUUACCAAGGUUAGAAAUCAACUUGAAAUCCUUUAGAAACAUUGGACCUCGCAAGACAAGUUGACAGGUGAUGCAUGGCCGUCGUCAGUUCGUGGUUUGAAUUGUACCCUUAAGUGGGCUAACGAACGCAACCCUCGUUGUGUGUUACAAGUGUCACACGAGACCGCCUCCGACAAAGUUUUUAUCCCGACUAAUUAAGUCGCGGAUGAAAUUUUUGUCGGGGGAGGAAGGAGAGGAUGACGCCAGGUCAGCAUGUCCCUUGAUACCUUGGGCUACACACAUAAUACAAUGGCUAUUACAACGCGCAGCGACGAGGCGACUCUGAGCUAAUCGUCUAAAAAUAGCCUCAGUUCGGAUUGGAGUCUGCAACUCGACUCCAUGAAGCUGGAAUUGCUAGUAAUCGCGGGUCAGCUAAACCGCGGUGAAUACGUUCUCAAGUCUUGUACACACCGCCCGU
rnacentral:rRNA from 1 species